GCCUGGCCCUAAAUCUUGAUGCUCGAUCUUACCGGAGCAUCCGCCCGAGAACUACGAGCACUAACGCUUAAAACUCUAAGGACUUGGCGGUGUCCCAAACCCACCUAGAGGAGCCUGUUCUGUAAUCGAUGAUCCACGAUAUACCUGACCAUUCCUCGCCAGAUCAGCCUAUAUACCGCCGUCGCCAGCCCACCCAGCAUGAAGGACCAACAGUGGACGCAAUAGCCUCACCCGCUAAUAAGACAGGUCAAGGUAUAGCCUAUGGAAUGGAAGCAAUGGGCUACAUUUUCUAAGCUAGAACACAACGGCAAAGGGACAUGAAACUGACCCUGGAAGGAGGAUUUAGCAGUAAAGUGGGACAAUCGAGCCCUCUUUAAGCCGGCCCUGGGACACGU
rnacentral:rRNA from 1 species